rnacentral:rRNA from 1 species
GACGAACGCUGGCGGCGUGCUUAACACAUGCAAGUCGAACGGAGUGGCGAACGGGUGAGUAACACGUGGGUGACCUGCCCUGCACUUCGGGAUAAGCCUGGGAAACUGGGUCUAAUACCGGAUAUGGUGGGAUGGGCCCGGGGCCUAUCAGCUUGUUGGUGGGGUAAUGGACUACCAAGGCGGGGGCGGGUAGCCGGCCUGGGAGGGUGGACGGCCACCAGGGGACUAAGACACGGAGCAGACGCCAACGUGGGGCAGCAGGGGGGAACAUUGCGCAAUGAGCGGAAGUGUAAUGCGGCGACGCUGCGUGGGGGAAGACGGCCGUCGGGGGGGGAACUCCGUUCACCUUCGACGCGGUAGAUGGAGAAGAAGCACCGGCUAACUACGUGCCAGCAGCCGCGGUAAUUC